UACAGAGGGGGCAAGCGUUGUUCGGAAUUACUGGGCGUAAAGGGCGCGUAGGCGGCCUGCUAAGUCGAACGUGAAAUCCCUGGGCUCAACCCAGGAACUGCGUCCGAUACUGGUUGGCUUGAAUCCGGGAGAGGGGACGUGGAAUUCCAGGUGUAGCGGUGAAAUGCGUAGAUAUCUGGAGGAACACCGGUGGCGAAGGCGACGUCCUGGACCGGCAUUGACGCUGAGGCGCGAAAGCCAGGGGAGCAAAGCGGG
rnacentral:rRNA from 1 species